UACGUAGGUGUCGAGCGUUGUCCGGAUUUAUUGGGCGUAAAGCGCCCGCAGGCGGCUUGGCAAGUUCGAGGUGAAAUCUCCCGGCUCAACUGGGAGGGUGCCUCGGAAACUGCCAGGCUUGAGGCAGGGAGAGGGAUGUGGAAUUCCCGGUGUAGUGGUGAAAUGCGUAGAUAUCCGGCGGAACACCGGUGGUGAAGGCGAUUCCCUGGACCGAGGCCGACGCUGAGACACGAAAGCCAGGGGAGCGAACGGG
rnacentral:rRNA from 1 species